rnacentral:rRNA from 1 species
AACGAACGCUGGCGGCGUGCCUAACACAUGCAAGUCGAGCGAGAAAGCCCGCAAGGGUGAGUAAAGCGGCGCACGGGUGCGUAACACGUGGGUAAUCUGCCCUGGAGUCCGGAAUAACUCGCCGAAAGGCGUGCUAAUGCCGGAUAAGACCACGGGAGCUUCGGCUCUCGCGGGAAAAGGUGGCCUCUGUACACAAGCUAUCACUCCAGGAUGAGCCCGCGGCCCAUCAGCUAGUUGGCGGGGUAACGGCCCACCAAGGCUACGACGGGUAGCUGGUCUGAGAGGACGAUCAGCCACACUGGAACUGAGACACGGUCCAGACUCCUACGGGUGGCUG